rnacentral:rRNA from 1 species
CGAGCAGAGACGAAAGUCGGUCAUAGUGAUCCGGUGGUCCCGCGUGGAAGGGCCAUCGCUCAACGGAUAAAAGGUACGCCGGGGAUACCAGGCUGAUGACCCCCAAGAGUCCAUAUCGACGGGGUUGUUUGGCACCUCGAUGUCGGCUCAUCGCAUCCUGGGGCUGGAGCAGGUCCUAAGGGUUUGGCUGUUCGCCAAUUAAAGCGGUACGUGAACUGGGUUCAGAACGUCGUGAGACAGUUCGGUCCCUAUCUGCCGUGGGUGUAGGAAUAUUGACAGGAUCUGUCCCUAGUACGAGAGGACCGGGAUGGACAUAUCUCUGGUGGACCUGUUGUCCUGCCAAGGGCAUAGCAGGGUAGCUAUAUAUGGACGGGAUAACCGCUGAAGGCAUCGAAGCGGGAAACCCACCUGAAAACGAGUGUUCCCGAUCAGAGCCGUGGAAGACGACCACGUUGAUAGGCCGGGUGUGGAAGUGCGGCAACGCAUGAAGCUUACCGGUACUAAUAGCUCGAUCGGCUUGAUCGUUCUCAUU